GCUUUGUAAACUUUUUUUUUUUUUUGAGGAAGAUUAGCCCUGAGCUAACAUCUGCCACCAAUCCUCCUCUUUUCGCUGAGGAAGACUGGCCCUGAGCUAACAUCUGUGCCCAUCUUUCUCUACUUUAUGUGUGGGACGCCUACCACAGCAUGGUUUGCCAAGCAGUGCUCUGUCCACACCUAGGAUCUGAACUGGAAAACCCUAGGCCGCUGAAGCAGUACGUGUGCACUUAACUGCUGCACCACUGGGCCAGACCUCCUUUCUUUCUUUUGUUUUUUGUUUUUUUUUUCAUGCAUGAGGGGCUUCUUGAACGUUUCUUGUAGGGAGGAGAUCUUGUCAUGAUGAACUCUCUCAGCUUUUGCUUAUCUGGGAAUGAUUUUAUUUCUCCUUCAUAUCUGAAGGAUAUUUUAGCUGGAUUGAGUAUUCUUGGCAGAAAGAUUUUGUCUUUCAAAAGUUUGAGGGGCCAGCCCCAUGGCCGAGUGUUUAAGUUCACUCACUCUGCUUCGGCAGCCCAGGGUUUCGCCAGUCCGGAUCCUGGAUGCAGACAUGGCACCACUUGUCAGGCCACAUUGAGGCAGCAUCCCACAUAGCACAACUAGAGGGACCCACAACUAAAAUAUGCAACUAUGUACUGGGGGGUAUUUGGGGAGAAAAAGCAGGAAAAAAAAAGUUUGAAUAUAUCAUUCUACUCUCUCCUAGCCUGUAGUGUUUCUUCUGAGAAAUCUGCUGAAAUCCUAAUAGGCAUUCUUUUGUAGGUUAUUUUCUUCUGUCUUGCUGACCUUAAUAUUAUUUGUCAUUGAUUUUUGCGAGUUUUACUGUUGUAUGCCCUGGAGAAGGUCUUUUUACAUCAAUGUGAUUAGGAGUUCUGUUAGCUUCUUUUACUUGUAAUUCCAGCUCCUUCCCCAGGAUUGGGAAGUUCUCAGCUAUUAUUUCUUUGAACAAGCUCUCUGCUCCUUUCUCCCUCUGGAACAUCUAUAAUCCUUAUGUUCCAAUUCCUAAUUGAGUCAGAUACUUCUUGGAGAAUUUAUUAAUUUCUUUUCAGUUUUAGUUCUCUCUCUUCCAUCUGAAGCAUUUCUAUAUUUCUAUCCUCUAAAUUGCUAAUUUUGCCGUCUAUACUAUCAACUCUGUUAUUCAGGGAUUUCAGAUUUUUCUUUAUCUCAUUCAUUGUGUUUUUCAUCUCCAACAUUUCUGAUUGGUUUUUCUUUACAGUUUCAAUCUCUUUUGUGAAGAAUUCCCCCUGUUCAUUAAUUUUAUUGCUGAUUUCACUGAACUGUGUUUCUGAGUUUUCUUGUAGCUCAUUGAGUUUUUUUUAUGAUAGCUGUUUUGAAUUCUCUGUCAUUUAGAGCAUAAAUUUCUGUGCCUUCAGGAUUGAUCUGGGUGCUUGUCAUUUUCCUUCUGGUCUGGAGUAUUAAUAUACCUCUUCAUACCAUUUGAUGGAGUGAAUUUGUGCCUCCCAUAGUGGUAGUAUCCAGUUGCAGAUUUCACCUGCUGCCACUGGGGUAGGGGGAGGGGGCUGGAGCUGUGUAUUCUGAGCCCCCCUGUAGUCUCUGGAAGCUGUGCCAGUGCUUUGGAAGCUAUGCUGACAAGGCCCAUCUGCAUUUGCCCACUUGCCACCGCUGCUUUACAAGCAUAUGCACAGUCACUCUGGCGGGGGUAUUCUGCUCAGUCCAUCAGAAAAAGCUGGUGUGCCAGGCAAGGGGAAGGGGGCGCUUUCUUUCAUGUGCGUGAUCCUGCAUGCUCCAGCUCUGCACUCACUCUCUGCCCACCUUGGUGCAGACACCCCCAUGACUGCUUAGCUGCCUCAGUGUGGGGUGUUCCCACAGGCUGGGCGGUAACUCUGAGAGCACAAGCAUUCCUGCGGAAGGCUGCCUUCUCUUCCUUCUCCUUUCAUGGCUGUGCACCAGCUGCUGCAAGGUCUCACCCUUGGGUCACUGCUGCACAGGAGGGAGAGGAAAUCCCCUUACCUCCUUCCACUGCCUCCUGGGGGGGUUGAGCACCCCCACCUUCAGAUGUAUGGCUGUGUGGAUCUCUCAGAUGUCUAUUGUUUUGUGUGGAUGUCCUCUGUUGGUUUAUGAAUGUCCUUUUUGUUGUAUCUUAAGGGGGAGAGAUUAAGGGAAGAGCUCACUCUGCCACGAUGCUGACGUUACUCUAGUCUCCUCUUUUGUGUUUUGUUUUGUGACUCUGCUCUGAUUUUUUUGUUUUGUGCUUACCAUGAGGUUUGUAUAAAAGAUCUUAUAAGUGAGAUAGCUCUUUUUCUGCUGAUAGCAUCUUAUCUUAUUAGGCUACACAGGUUCCAUCCUUCUCCUCUUGUCUUUCUAUGCUUUUGUUGUCACAAAUUAUCCUUUUUUGUAUUGUGAGCUUGUUAUCAAAUUGAAGUGGUUACAGUUAUUUUUUAUUCUUUCUUUCUGUUUAAGCUUUGUGUUACCAUUAAGUGUUUACUAAUGUAUUCUAAUAUAGAGUUGCAAUUUUCUGAUUCUGUCUGUCUUGUUAUCGCCUUGCUCAAAGCUUUGUAUACCUUUGCUUUUUUGUUGAAGGAGAGCACCCUUCAACAUUUCUUGUAAGGAAGGUCUAGUGGCAAUGAACUCCCUCAGCUUUUGUUUGUCUGGGAAAGCCUUUAUUUCUCCUUCAUAUCUGAAGGAUAACUUUGCUAGAUAAAGUAUUCUUAGUUGAUACUAUUUGUCUUUCAAUAUUUUGAAUAUAUCAUUCCAUUCUCUCUUAGCCUGUUGAGAUUCUGCUGAGAAAUCCACUGAUAGCCUGAUGGGGGUUUCUUUGUAAGUUGUUUUCUCUCUGAUUGCCCUUAAUAUUCUUUCUUUGUCAUUGAGUUUUGACAGUUUUAGUAUAACGUGUCUUGGACAAGGUCUUUUUGCGUUGAGAGAAUUAGGAGUUGUAUUAGUUUCAUAUACUUGUAUAUCCAGUUCCUUCCCCAGGUUUGGGAAGUUUUCAGCUAGUAUUUCUUUAAAUAAGCUCUCUGCUCCUUUCUCCCUCGCUUCUCCUUCUUGGACACCCAUUAUCUUUAUGUUGCUUUUCCUAAAUGAUUCAGAUAUUUCUUGUAGAAUUUCUUCAUUUUUAAAAAAUCUUAUUUCUCUCUCCUCUUCCAUCUGAAUCAUUUCUAGAUGUCGAUCUUCAAGUUUGCUAAUUCUCUUUUCCAUAUAGUCUGGUCUAUUUCCAAUGCUUUCUACUUUAUUUUUCAUCUCAUUAAUUAUGUUCUUCAUCUCCAGAAUUUCUGUUUGUUUUUUUUUUCUUUUUUAGAGUUUCAAUGUCUUUGGUAAAAUAUUCCUUCUGUGUAUUCAUUUUAUUCCUGAGCUCAUUGAACUGUCUUUCUGAAUUUUCUUGUAACUCACUGAGUUUCUUUUCUUUUUUUCCCCCUGAGGAGGACCCCCCCCCCCACCGGGCUAACAUCUGUGCCAAUCUUUCAUUUUGUAUGUGAGUCGCCACCACAGCAUGGCUGCUGAUGAGUGGUGUAGGUCCACACCCAGGUACUGAACCUGGGCUGCUGAAGCAGAGUGCACCAAACUUAAUUACUAGGUCAUGGGAUCAGACCCUCACUGAGUUUCUUCAUGACAGGCAUUUUGAAUUCUCUGUCAGCUAAAUCACAAUCUUCUGUGACUUCAAGUUUGGUUUCUGGAGAGUUGUCAUUUUCUUUCUGCUCUACUGUGUUAGUGUCAUUCUUCAUGGUGCUGGAGGAGUUGAUCUUUUGCCAGGACAUUUGUGGUAGUAAACAUCUUUCAUAUUUGGGUAAGGCUUUGGUUACUUUGAUUCUGAGCUUCUUCUGGUUGUAUUUGAGAGCUGCACUUUCUGCCCUCCACUGCCUCUGCCAGAAGCAUUGUUAGUGCCCUCCUUGUGCUGCAGUGUGUCUCUCAGGUUGCUGGUGCCUUGCUGCUUACAAUGUUGCUGCAGUCAUGAGUGUCACCACUGGGGUCACCAGGCUGCAAACACUCUGCUGCUUCUGGGUUUGCUUGGACUCAUGUUCCCCCACUGGGUCUCCACAGACUCAGGUGCUGCUGCCAUGUGUACCACCAGCACUGCUGCUCCUGGGUUAUCUGGGGGUGCUGGCAACACCACUGCUGGGGGCACUGGGUUCACAAGUGUUGCUGCCACUGCCAGGGGCCUGGCAUCUUGUAUGCAACCCCCUUUGCUGGUAGGGCUGGUGUCGGGAAUGCCACCAUUAGGGGCUGGGUCAUGGGUACUGCUGUGUUUCCUGAAGCAUCAGGUUGCAGGUGCCUCCCAUCACUGCUGGGGGAGGGGCAGAGGCUAAGCCAUGAAUGCCUCUGCUCCUGCAUCCUCUUGUCUCUAACACUAGUGAAAUUUUUUUUUUUUAAGAUUUUAUUUUUUCUUUUUCUCCCCAAAGCCCCCUGGUACAUAGUUGUGAAUUUUUCCUUGUUGGUCCUUCUAGUUGUGGCAUGUGGGAUGCCGCCUCAUCGUGGCUUGAUGAGCGGUGCCGUGUCCAUGCCCAGGAUUUGAACCAGUGAAACCCUGGGCCACUGAAGCAGAGCGUGCAAACUUGACUACUCGGCCACGGGGCCAACCCCUAGCACAACUUUUUGAAGCCUUAGGUCAGGGUACCACCACCACUGCCUAGGGUAUCCACUAUUUGGAUCACCGCCACUGAGGGAGGGGGAUGGGGCUUAUCCCCUAAUUUCACUGCCUCCCAGAGUUUCAAUCUACCCACUUUCAGAUGUAUAGAUGUCUGGAUCUCUCGGGUGCUCUGGUGUGCUGUGCAGGGAGUCCUUUGUUGGUUGAUGGAUGUCUUGCUGCUUGUAACUUAGAGGGGAGAGACAAAGGGAACAAGUCACUCCACCAUGAUACUGACAUCAACAACAUACCGUUGAUUUUUAUAGGUUUCCAUUUACAAGUUUAAUUUUCUGUCUUUGAGGCUUGCUAAUCAACAGAAUAUGGAAGAUAGCCCUCUGAUGCCCAUGACUACCUUCAGAUUUGUUAUAACCCCCUUAUUUUAAAGGAAGAUUACCCCUGAGCUAACUGCUGCCAAUCCUCCUCUUUUUGCUGAGGAAGACUGGCCCUGAGCUAACAUCUGUGCCCAUCUUCCUCUACUUUAUAUGUGGGACACCUACCACAGCAUGGCGUGCCAAGCAGUGCCAUGUCCGCACCCGGGAUCCGAGCCUGCGAAACCCGGGCCACCAAAGCAGAACGUUGGUGCUUAACUGCUGCGCCACCGGGCUGGCCCCAAUCUGACAGUUCUAUUCCUAGGUAGACAUACCUGGCAGAAAUGUGUUUAUAUGACACCAAAAGACAUGUAUGUAUAAGACUUAUGUGACACCGUUUUUUUCAAUAUCUUUUUUAACAACUUUAUUGAGAUGUCUUUGGCAUAUAAAUUGUAUAAAUUUAAUGGGUACAACUUGAUGAUGUGAAAUAUUGUGAGACCAUUUUAAAACCAUCAGAUUGGGGGGGAAAGAAUAAAUUAUGGUACAUCAAAGAGAUGAAUUUUAUGCAAAUUAAAUCUAUAUAUGUAUUGACUUGGUGGGACAUCUCUGAGAAGUUAAGUGAAGAAAGCAAGUUGUGUAUAUACUGACUUCAUUUUUAUAAGGAUAGAAAACAAAGACAAAACCCCUUUUAUGUGCAUGUACGUAUGUAAGAACAAGAAGAAAAGACUGCAAAUAAAAAGAUCCAAAUUUUAAUAUGAGAGGCGAGAUUAAAUGAAGAAUGAGGAGAGAGAUGAUUAGCUUUUUUUGUGUGUUUCUAGGUAGUUAUUUUUGAUUGAGAUAUAAUUCACCUAUGAUAAAUGCACCACUGUAAAGUAUAUAAUUUGGUAAUUUUUAGUGUAUUCAUGAAGUUGUGCAAGCAUUGCGACUACCUAAUUCCAGAACAUUUUAAUCACCUGUUCUCCCCCACACUCCCCGCCCCAAACCACCCUGUAGCCAUAAGCAAUCAUUCUCUAUACUUCCUGCCUCCCAGCCCCUGGCAGCCACUAAUCUACUUUCUGUGUCUACGGUUUGUCUAUUCUGCACAUUUCAUAUAAAUGGAAUCAUGUAAUAGGUAUGUGAUUUUUUGUGUCUGACCUCUUUCACUUAGCAUAAUGUUUCUGAGACUCAACAAUGUUGUAGCAUGCAUCAAUAGUUCAUUCCCUUUUAAGCCUGAACCAUAUUCCAUUGCAUGGAUACAGCAUAUUUUAUUUAUCCAUUCACCAGGUGCUUAUCAUUUGCAUUGUUUCCACGUUUUGGCUAUUGUAAAUAGUGCUUCUAUGAACAUUAGUGAACAAGUUUUUAUGUGGACAUAUGUUUUUAUUUCUCUUAGGCAUAUAUCUAGGAGUGGAAUCACUGUGUCAUGCCGCAACUCUAUGUUUAAACUUUUGAGGAACUGCCAGACUACUUUUUAAAGCUGCUGUACCAUUUUGCUUUCCCACUGGCAGUGUAUGAGGGUUCCAAUUUCUCCACAUCUUCACAACACUUAUUAUUGUCUGUCUUUUUUAUUAUAGCCAUAGUGUACUAGAGGGUAUGAAGAAUAUCACGUUUGUUUUUAUUUGAAUGUCCCUGAUGGCUAACGAUGUUGAACAUCUUUUCAUGGACUUAUUGGCCCUGUGUAUAUCUUCUUUAUUUUUAUUUUUUUUGGUGAAGAAGAUUGGCCCUGAACGAACAUCCAUUGCUGGUCUUCCUCUUUUUGCUUGAGGAAGAUUGUCUCUGAGCUAACGUUUGUGCCAAUCUUCCUUUAUUUUGUAUGUGGGAUGCCGCCAUAGCAUGGCUUGAUGAACAGUGUAAAAGUCCAUGCUUGGGGUCUGAACCCAUAAACUCCCAGGCCACCAAAGCAAAGUGCAUGCACUUAACCUCUACACCACUGGGCUGGCCCUAUAUCUUCUUUAGAUAAAUGUCUAUUCAAAUCCUUUGCCCAUUUUUUAUUUAGGUUGUCUUUUUAUUGUUGAGUUGUAAGUGUUCUUUAUAUGUUCUGUAUGGAAAUCCCUUGUGAGAUAUAUGAUUUGCAAAUAUUUUAUCUCAUUUUGUGGGUUUUCUUUUCACUUUGUUGAUAGUGUCCCUGGAAACAUAAAAGAUUUUAAUUUUGAUGAAGUCCAAUUUAUUUUAUUUAUGUUGAUUCCUUGCACUUUUGGUGUCGUCUUUAAGAAAUCAUUGCCUAACCCAAGGUCACAAAAAUAUACACCUACGUUGUUUUAUGAGUUUUAUAGUUUUACCCCUUAAAUUUAGGUCUUUGAUCCAUUUUGAGUUAAUUUCUGUAUAUGGUGUGAAGUAGGGCUUCACCUUCAUUCUUUUUCUGGUGGAUAUCUAGCUUUCCUAGCUUCAUUUGUUGAAAAGUCUAUUCUUUCCCCCAUUGAGUUGUCUUGGCACCCUUGUUGAAAAUUAAUUGACCAUAAAUGUACGGAUUUUUUCCUGGACUCUCAGUUCUAUUCCAUUGAUCUAUAUGUUUAUCCUUAUGCCAGCACCAUGCGUCUUGACUACUAUCUAGGUAGUUUUAAAAAACCGAAUUUUUAAAAUAGAUUUGAUUGAGUUUUAAGCUUUAUUAAUCCCUGUAUUAGUUUUCCAUUACUGCUGUAAAAAGUUAUCACAAACUUAGUGGCUUAACACAAAACGAACUUAUUAUCUUACAUGUCUGUAGGUUAUAAGUCUGACACAAAUUUUUGUUUCAGCUUUAUUGAGGUAUAAUUGACAAAUAAAAUUGUAAGACAUUUGAAGUGUACAUCGUGGUGAUUUGGUAUACAUACACAUUGUGAAAAGGUUCCUCCCAUCUGGUUAAUUAACACAUCCAUCACCUCAUAUACUUAUCUUUUUUUUAAGUGAGAACAUUUAAGUUCUACUCUCUCAGCAAAUUUUAAUUAUAUAAUACAGCGUCAUCAACUACAGUCAUCAUGUUAUACGUUACAUCCUUGGACCUUAUUCAUCUCAUAGCUGAAAGUUUGUACCCUUUUACAAACCUCUCCCCAUUCCCUCCAC
ensembl:lncRNA